CCGCAUUCCAAACCCUCCUGGUGGCUGCCCCCUGGCCUCCAGGCAUAAGAACGAAUGCCAGAGCGAACCGGUGAUUGAUCCAAAACGCGGAGCUCCUGUCCUGUGGCUCCUCGUUAUUUCACGUCUUCAACAUUU